rnacentral:lncRNA from 1 species
UUCAGAUACACCCAUGCUUGGACAUCUCAUGGAGUAGGACUCUCUUAUUCAUCUCUGCAUUCCCAUGGCUUCAUGCUACGUAUGGUCCAAGACACCCAGGAGAGCAAGCAGCUUAAGGGAAGUCUAAAUGGCAGAGAGGAAGCUAACUCUUCACCACCUUGGCUUUCCCUGCUCAAGGGACUUUGGGGCAGUAACUGAGAAGCGCGAUGAAGAAUAAAUUUGGAAUUAUAGCCAGUUCCUUAACACUAUCUUGUUUGAUGGACUCUCUCCCCUUAACCGCUUUAUCAAAUGCUUCACCAAUGUUCUCAAAGGGCGCCAUGAUUUAUCACAGCUCAACCAACAUAUCCAAAUGGGAUGUUCCAGUGGUUGUAUAAAUUAAAGUUCCUUCGGAAUUCUAGAUCAACUGAAAUAGACUAAGAUUGCCUUUUCUAUAAGAUUGUGGCUCUACACAAUCGAAUCUCCACGAGCAACUUAU